rnacentral:rRNA from 1 species
AUACGGAGGGUGCGAGCGUUAAUCGGAAUUACUGGGCGUAAAGCGCGCGUAGGCGGCUAAGUAAGUCGGAUGUGAAAGCCCUGGGCUCAACCUGGGAAUUGCAUUCGAUACUGCUUGGCUAGAGUAUGGUAGAGGGUAGUGGAAUUCCUGGUGUAGCGGUGAAAUGCGUAGAUAUCAGGAGGAACAUCAGUGGCGAAGGCGGCUACCUGGACCAAUACUGACGCUGAGGUGCGAAAGCGUGGGGAGCAAACAGGAUUAGAAACCCGAGUAGUCC